CUGUGAACUCUGUGAAGUCAUUACUCUUUAUUUUUUGUAAAGCACAUUGAUCUUUCGUUAUAAUAAUUUAUUUUAAGUCCGAUGAGAAUAAAACCAAGUCUUUAAUCAUGUUUGAUUUCUCAAGAAAGAGGGCAAGAGAGGUGAACAAAGGUCAGUUUCAGAGUGUCUUUUUUCUUGUCUAAUCACACAGAGGUUACAAUCCUACCCCCUGCCUCUGGCAAAGGCAUCAUUAUUUCAGAGGAAAAAGUGUACUGUGCAAAUCGCAUUGAAAAACAUCAGUUUUGUGGUGGAAUCUGGAUCAGUCAGGAAAUUUGACCAAAGCAUGUCUGACAUAGUGGUGAGGAGAUUUUGUCACAUUGCCAAGGACAGGUAUUCUGAGUGUGGAGAACAAUGAACAGCAAUGGAGAGAAACACGGAACACAAAUUUUUUAGAAACUGGGAAUCAUCAAAAUACAAAAAGGUUACCGGGCUGCCGCUGCAUUUCACUUUGGACAAGCACAGAUGAGUGCAAAAAGCCUGGAAACUGGUUGGAUUGGUGAGUAAUCCCUUACUAGCAUGAGCUGCAUCAUCCCUUCUUCAACAGCUUCCACAAGUUCAGAAGAUCAGAAGACUGUCAUUUUGCCUUUGAAUGAACCAAACUCUCUGUUGCCUCAUGUUCUGGCUCUGUGAUGAGCCUCAGGGGGCAAAGGAAAGGGUGAGAACCUUUUAUGUGAAAAUUUUUCAAGCCAAAUCACUGUAGAAUGGUACAUGAAUGUGACCUGAGGGUGCAUCACCGCUUCUGCCAGAGUGCCCACUGCUAGCAGCUGUAGAAGAAUCUGGAAACUUUUGUUUGUUUUAGUUUUAAUCACACUUCUAUAAGAACAGGUGGUACUUCUGGGCCAUGAGUUAUGGGGUGGCUACAUGUCCUGUUGGUGAAUGAUGCUGUACAGGAGGAAAUUGGUCUUGAGUCUCCUUAUUAAUAUUACAUUUCUUUCUGGGAACACUGAAAACAGACAAAAAAAAUUAAAAGCCCAAUAAAUAUGACACUUCAUUUCUGUAAAAAGCAACUUUUCUUUUAGCUGAAUCAUGAACCACACUGACAAUCAUGAGUGUAUCUUUCAGUAAUUCAGCAGAUUAUGUCUGGUCUGUUAAUAACCUUCACUCAGAAUAUGAAGUGGGAAAGCCAAAUCUUGUCUCUCCUGACUCAAUUUCUUUUUGACAUAGCCUCUGUUGAUGUGAUCUCAUGCAGUUGGUCCUACGGAAAAAAAAAAUAAUAAAAAAUACAUACCUGUGGCUGUAGGAAAACAAUCUGUAAAAAUGUGCAUUUUCCAGAAUUCUUUAUAUACAUGCUUAGGGAGAUGUAGCAAAUAGACAAAAAGGAAAAUUCCAUCAGAUGCAACAAAUGAAAUUAAUUUGUCAGGUCAGGACUUCAAGGUGUCCACAUUCAGAGCCUUCAUAUUUGUCCCAUUCUGAGAUCUUAAAGGUAAUAGGGAAGAAGCUGUACACGAAGGCUGCCAUGCAAUGGUGGCAUGCUGUUUGUAUUUUUCUAUUCCUAGAUAAUGUUAGUUCACUGUAGCCAGUAUUUCUGCAUCCAUCAAAUUAGUAUAAAUUGUGCUUCAAUAUAGAGCAGAUUAUGAAAUCUCGGCAAGUUCUUGCAUUCCUGACAAUCACAGUUAGAAAGUACUCAACAGCAUCAGUUUCAUUGCUUUUAUUGAAAUUAAUUCAGUCUUGGUACUUUAACUAGUUUCUGAGUUUAUAUAUACAUUUUUGACGUCAUGCGUGUGAAAUUGAAUUUUUUUCUCAACAUAAAAAUUGUAGAAGCCAAACCAUAGUAAUUUAUAAAUAGCAGGUAUUUCUCAGUGCAUUCAGCAGAAGCUCUGAAAGUCUGUGAAAAUCUGACCAUGUCCUCUGCAUUUAUUUCCAGCUCUGAUGCAGCCCCAUGGUCAUUCAAAGGGAAGGAGGUGGCUGGUUACACCUAGUCUUGGUGUAAGUGUUAAAUUUAAUCUCAGAACACUUACUGGAAUUAACUUGGACUCAGAACACCCACGGGAUUGAACUCCUCAGGGGUUUUAUAAAGCAGGUGAUGCUAUUUCUGAAUCCCAGAAAGAGCCAGAGGCCUGCAGAGCUCAGCACUGUUAAGAAGGAUGCACUGGGAAUUGGUAGAAAUACAACUGCUGGUAAUAUUCAGGUCUAAGGUGUAUUUUGAUGCUUUCCCUGAGUUAAUGUUUAACCAUUGUGCUUAAGCAGUGGUUCAGGAGAGAUUUCCAAGGUUCCACUUUAAGUGAGCCAGCUCUAGGUGGCACCUGAUGUCCCUUUUUUACUUUCCAUUCUUUCCCAAUCUCUGAGCAGAAAUGCUGUUUGCUUCCUUAUGGACUUCUCCUGGGGCCAACACAUUAGGUUUUGGGACUAUAUCCAGUGAAUGAUCAGCUUUUUCAGUUUCAUUUUCUGCUUUUGAGAACCCUACAGAGGUGGAAAGAUCAGUUCUGAUGUUUCUGGCAAUAAUUUAUUCUGCUCAGUUGCAGAAUUUAAAGUAUUCAGAAAGGGCUUGUAAUUACAUUAUAGUUCUAGUUCUAGCAAUAUUUCUAGCCAUGAGAGAUUUGCUGAUGGAAAGAAGAUAAUUAUUCCCUCUUCUUUUCACCCAGUAUCCUGUUUCACCCAUCAAAGAGAGCACACAGUGGGUCACAGCAGUCUGACUCCUCACUUCAUGCAUUGUUUAGGGACAAUGAGAGCUGAGCUUCUGCUCUGCUUCCAAAGCUCAUCCUAACUUUGAAGGAAUAUUUCUGGCAGUGCAAGUGAGAAGUUGACAGGCAGCAAAGCCAUUGCCUUUCCCUGUGCCUGUGUACCACGAGAAUUAAGAAAUACUAAUAAUAGAAAUGUUAUUUUCUGCCAGAGGCAGGCUUGUGUUUCUAACUGUGGUGGUGCCAUCAGUUUUAGGACUCAGUUUUUGUACUAAGGGGAAAAUGUAACAUUUAAUCCAAUAUUAAGCUGCUCUUUGUUUUUUGGUUUUUUUUUUUUUUUUGGAGCUGAAAAAUUCAGGGGAGCACUUGCUUGGCAGUAUUUUUAAAGACUGAGUUUGUCUGGCAUUUUUUCAGAGCAGGUUUAACAGCCUGGACAGACUGUGAGUGACAAAGUUAAAAAGGGAGUUUGAAGUUUAAAUAGUCAAACAUGGAGUGCUGUAAGUACAAAAACUGCAAAGAACACCCAGAGGAACUUCAUCUUUUCAAGAUUCUGAAUUUCCAGGUCUAGAGUCACUGUACAGAUUCAGUGGUGCAGUCAUUCAAGGCAAAAGUUUCCUGAUUCCUCAAACUUACCUUGUGCCUUAUACACUUGAUAGAAGACAUUUGUCAGACAUAAUUUUAAAAAAAAAUAAUUUUAAUUUAAAAACUAUUAAAGUUUGUCAAUAGUUGGAUUAUUAAUAGUAUGUUUGUAUUUGACUCAGUAAUACCACAUCUGGCUAAAAUUGGCAUUGCCAACAAACCAAUCCCCCAAAACUGCAGCUGAAGUAGUGUUAGCAUCACUUAGAAAAUCUUGUCCAGGAGCAAAAAACUGUAACCAGGAUAUUUCUUUUAUUACUGAGGAAAUUGCAAGUUCUUGUUCAAUUUACUGUUUUCAAAAUCAUAUUUAUAUUUCCACACAGGCCUCUGCAUGUUAUGCUAUGGUUACCAUUACAGCUUUUUAAAUUUCACAUGAUUUAAAAUCAUAUGAAUCACUGGAAAUGAAUAUUCACCACCAAAAUUCUCAAGAUCCUUUCAAGGAAGACUUAAAGUAUCUGAGCUGACCUGAAGGUCUCUGAAGUCAAUGGAAAGAUUUCUGUUGAUUUUCAAGGGCUUUAAAAUAUUCCUUUAAGGAAAAACUCAAAUCCUAGCCUAAAAAACAUCAACACUGUUUUGGUGUCACCAAGAGUGAAAUAUAACUGAAACUGAAAAAUUAUUUAACUAAUACAAUUCACUUUGUAGAAGACAAAAGGGGAUUAUUGCACAUCACCUCAACAGGACAAUUUUUAAAAUAGUUAAAUGCUGGGUUCCAAGGCAAUUUCAUUUUCUUAUUGUAAUGAACAAAUUUAACGCUUGAAUGUGCCCCAGAAAUAGUCAUCCCAAGGCAAUUUUAUAUUCUUGUUGUUGUGAAUUUUUGAUGCAUGAAUCUGUCCUAGAAAUAGUGCUUGGAACAGAAUACACAACUUCUAAAUUAAAGAAAAAGUUCUUACUCUCA